rnacentral:rRNA from 1 species
AGUGAACGCUGGCGGUAGGCCUAACACAUGCAAGUCGAACGGCAGCACAGGAGAGCUUGCUCUCUGGGUGGCGAGUGGCAGACGGGUGAGGAAUACAUCGGAAUCUACUCUGUCGUGGGGGUAACGUAGGGAAACUUACGCUAAUACCGCAUACGACCUACGGGUGAAAGCAGGGGACCUUCGGGCCUUGCGCGAUUGAAUGAGCCGAUGUCGGAUUAGCUAGUUGGCGGGGUAAAGGCCCACCAAGGCGACGAUCCGUAGCUGGUCUGAGAGGAUGAUCAGCCACACUGGAACUGGGACACGGUCCAGACUCCUACGGGAGGCAGCAGUGGGGAAUAUUGGACAAUGGGCGCAAGCCUGAUCCAGCCAUACCGCGUGGGUGAAGAAGGCCUUCGGGUUGUAAAGCCCUUUUGUUGGGAAAGAGAUCCAGCUGGCUAAUACCCGGUUGGGAUGACGGUACCCAAAGAAUAAGCACCGGCUAACUUCGUGCCAGCAGCCGCAGUAA